UGCAAGUCGAACGGGAUUCCCCGUGUUCAAGUCGCAAGAUGAGAAUAUGGGGAUGAGAGUGGCGGAAGGGUGAGUAACACGUGGGUAAUCUACCUUCAAGUUUAGUAUAACCUGCCGAAAGGCGGACUAAUCCUGGAUGUGAUCGUGCCGCGCAUGCGGCAUUGUUUAAAGGCGGGGACCCGCAAGGGCCUGUCGCUUGAAGUUGAGCCCGCGUCCUAUCAGCUUGUUGGUGAGGUAACGGCUCACCAAGGCUUACGGGUAGCUGGUCUGAGAGGAUGGUCAGCCACACUGGGACUGAGAUACUGCCCAGACUCCUACGGGAGGCUGCAGUCGAGGAUCAUUUGCAAUGGGCGCAAGCCUGACAAUGCGACGCUGCGUGGAGGAUGAAGGCCUUCGGGUUGUAAACUCCUGUCAUUUGGGAACAAUAUCGGGAGGGCGAAUAUCCCUUCCGGUUGAUGGUACCAGAAGAGGAAGUCACGGCUAACUCUGUGCCAGCAGCCGCGGUGAUACAGAGGUGGCAAGCGUUGUUCGGAUUUAUUGGGCGUAAAGGAUGCGUAGGUGGUUUUGCAUGUCAGAUGUGAAAGCUCACUGCUCAACGGUGAAAUGGCAUUUGAAACUGCAGGACUAGAGUACAGGAGAGGAGAGUGGAAUUCUUGGUGUAGCGGUGAAAUGCGCAGAUAUCAAGAGGAACACCGGUGGCGAAGGCGACUCUCUGGACUGAUACUGACACUGAGGCAUGAAAGCUGGGGGAGCAACAGGAUUAGAUACCCUGGUAGUCCCAGCCUUAAACGGUGUACACUUGGUGUGGGAGGAUUUGACCCCUCCUGUGGCGGAGCUAACGCGUUAAGUGUACCGCCUGAGGA
rnacentral:rRNA from 1 species